rnacentral:rRNA from 1 species
GGGCGUCCAGCGGCGGACGGGUGAGUAAUGCCUAGGUAAAUUGCCCUGAUGUGGGGGAUAACCAUUGGAAACGAUGGCUAAUACCGCUAUGAUGCCUACGGGCCAAAGAGGGGGACCUUCGGGCCUCUCGCGUCAGGAUAUGCCUAGGUGGGAUUAGCUAGUUGGUGAGGUAAUGGCUCACCAAGGCGACGCAUCCCUAGCUGGUCUGAGAGGAUGAUCAGCCACACUGGAACUGAGACACGGUCCAGACUCCUACGGGAGGCAGCAGUGGGGAAUAUUGCACAAUGGGCGCAAGCCUGAUGCAGCCAUGCCGCGUGUGUGAAGAAGGCCUUCGGGUUGUAAAGCACUUUCAGUCGUGAGGAAGGUGGUGUAGUUAAUAGCUGCAUUAUUUGACGUUAGCGACAGAAGAAGCACCGGCUAACUCCGUGCCAGCAGCCGCGGUAAUACGGAGGGUGCGAGCGUUAAUCGGAAUUACUGGGCGUAAAGCGCAUGCAGGUGGUUUGUUAAGUCAGAUGUGAAAGCCCGGGGCUCAACCUCGGAAUAGCAUUUGAAACUGGCAGACUAGAGUACUGUAGAGGGGGGUAGAAUUUCAGGUGUAGCGGUGAAAUGCGUAGAGAUCUGAAGAGAAUACCGGUGGCGAAAGGCGGCCCCCUGGACAGAUACUGA